AUAAUGCUUUUCUUGGACUUUUGCUGGGGUGGGUGGUUCUAAAGAGCCAGGGCCCACCUGCGGUAGGUGGAGUAUCAGGUCACAGCUGUGUAUAAAUCCACAGACACACCGUGGAAAUGCUGUUGGUGGUUCUGUGUGUAUCCAGAAAGGUGUAGUUAUACCUACUGCACUGUCACAGAUUUUGGUUUCUGUAAAAUCUGUAGCUGAUUUACAGAAACAAAACAGGAGACAUCGCUGGUAAAAACAUUUGGAUUGAUUCAGAGAGUGCCUCCGUUGCACCUAAUUUCUUAAUAAAAGUGCGACUUUCUGUGUGCACACAGAAAAUGCUGAACACCAAACACACAGUCUCUGUGGCUGUGCUGCUGAGCGUCAUCACAGCAUCUCAAGACCACAAAAUCAUCCCAGCUGAAUCUGGACAGAACAUCACUCUGACAUGUCGAGCUUCAAACACCUCCAUCGUAGCUGUAGAGUGGAGCAAAUCCAACAUGAAGACAGAUUAUGUCCUUUUAAGCCGUGAUGGUCACUUUGACCUUCACAACCAGCAUCCAUCUUUUAAGGACCGGGUGGAUCUGCAGGACAGACAGAUGAAGGAUGGAGACGUGUCUUUGAUUCUGAACAAUGUUACAGUUAAUGACACUGGAACAUACGAAUGUCGUGUCUUCAUGGAGGAAACACACUUGUGGAAAUCCAUCAGCACCAUUAACCUGAGUGUUAUUGUUCCUACAGGUUCACCAGGAGCACUCGUAGAGGGUCGAUCUGUUGGAGGAAUUAUUGGUCUGUCAGUUUCAGCUGUGAUGAUUUUUGUGGCCUUUGUUAUCUAUAAAAAUUUAGAAAAAAUAAAAAAAUAUUCCUUGUUAAUUCUUGUCAUAAACGGACACAACACUGUCCAUUUAUUACAAGAAUUAACAAGGGUCAUGUAAGGUCGCCAGUGGUUUAAUAUCCCAUCCCCUUUCCCCUACUUUCAUCCCUCUCCUUGAAUUGCCACCUUAUCGUGGUGGAGGGGUUUGUGAGCUCAGACGAUCCUGGGAGCUGAGUUGUCUGGAGCAUUCAGCUCCUGGUAGGGUCUCCCAUGACAAACAGGUCCCAGGUGAUGAGCCAGACUAAGAGCAAUUCAUGUGCACUGCAGCAUUUAUCAGUAUGUAAAUGCUUCUUUUGUUAUGUGGUUUUGUUUUUUGUUGUGAAAGAAAUGUGCAGAAAGCAAUUAUUUUUUAUUUUUUACUGUCUUUUAACAAAAAGAUAUUUUAAAUAAAAUGGUGAAAAAGUCUUACAU
rnacentral:lncRNA from 1 species